rnacentral:rRNA from 1 species
UACGGGGGGAGCAAGCGUUGUUCGGAUUUACUGGGCGUAAAGGGCGCGUAGGCGGCGCGCCAAGUCACUUGUGAAAUCUCUGGGCUUAACUCAGAACGGCCAAGUGAAACUGUUGUGCUAGAGUGCAGAAGGGGCAAUCGGAAUUCUCGGUGUAGCGGUGAAAUGCGUAGAUAUCGAGAGGAACACCAGAGGUGAAGACGGGUUGCUGGGCUGACACUGACGCUGAGGCGCGAAAGCCAGGGGAGCAAACGGG